GAAAUGCGAUAAGUAGUGUGAAUUGCAGAAUUCAGUGAAUCAUCGAAUCUUUGAACGCACAUUGCGCCCCUUGGUAUUCCAUGGGGCAUGCCUGUUCGAGCGUCAUUUGUACCCUCAAGCUCUGCUUGGUGUUGGGUGUUUGUCCCCGUCUCCGCGCGUGGACUCGCCCCAAAGUGAUUGGCAGCCGGCGUACCGGUCCCGGAGCGCAGCACAUGUCGCGCAAACGAGUGCCUUGGUACGGCGGCGUCCAUAAGCCCCUCUCUCACGCUCUUGACCUCGGAUCAGGUAGAGAUACGCGCUGAACUUAAGC
rnacentral:misc_RNA from 1 species